rnacentral:tRNA from 1 species
GCCUCCUUAGCUCAGCUGGCCAGAGCGCAGCCCUUGUAAGGCUGAUGUCGUCGGUUCGAAUCCGACAGGGGGCU